rnacentral:rRNA from 1 species
UGUUAAAUUAAAUGAGCUGGUGUUACGUACAGAAAGGAAAAAGUAAAAUGGAGUGCAUAUCUGUUUGAAUGAAAGGGGAACCUUCCUCUAAGACUAAAUAUAAUAUAUAAGCGAUAGCGAAUAGUACCGUGAGGGAAAUGAUUGAAAUAGUAAUUUUAUAAGCAGCUCAAAAAUAGUUUAAAUAAACAAUGAGAGCGUACCUUUUGCAUAAUGGGUCAGCAAGUUAAUAUUCGAUGCGAGCAAUAAUGCAAAGAUAAAACAAUUAUGAUAUAAUGAUCUAGUAUCGAAAUUAGACCCGAAGCCUAGUGAUCUUACCAUGAUCAGGAUUAUAAAAGUCCGAACGGGUUAUCGUUGUAAAGAUAUCCGAAGAAUUGUGGUAAGUUAGUGAAAGACAAUUCUGACUAGGAUAGCUGGUUUUCUGCGAAACCUAUAUAAGUAGGUAAUUUAAAUAGAAUAUCAGAAGGUACAGAAUUGUGAUCUCAUGCAACCAGUAUUUAUUUUUAUAUUAAUCAAAAAAUAACAGCUUGCUUGUGUGCUUAUAUUAGCUUACGCUACGUAAGUAUGCAUGUAUGCCUUUUUUAGAGUAAUAUAAAUAAAAAUAUACUUUUUGUGGACAUUGGGGGGUCGUGAAGACUCUAUCAGUGAGUAUUUGUUCUCGGAAGGUCUAGAUAUGUAUAUUGAAUAAUCGGACAUAGUACGAUAAGGUUGUAUGUCUAAAGGGAAAUAGCCCAGAACAAGAGUUAAUAAGGUUCCAAAAUUUUUGUUAAGUGAAAUUAAGGCAGUAUUUAUCCCAAUCGGCCAGGGAAUAGGCUUAGAAGCGGCCAUUUUUUGAAGACCUCGUAACAGAGCACUGGUUUUCUAUUUUAUGGAUAAAAGCACCGAAAAUUUAACGGAUCUAAACAAAAUACCGAUACCUUGUCCAUAUAUAUUAAUGUGUAUAUUAUAUAUUGUAUAUAUGGGGUAGCGGAACAUUGGGUAGCCAUUUUUAAUCCUUUAUAAGGAUUAAAUUGCCUAGAGUUUAAUUUAUUAUUGCUUAUAGUUUAAUUUAUUAUUCUCUGGGCUAAAUAAGCCCAAGUGAUAAUGCUGACAUGAGUAACGAUAAAGGAUCAUUAGUACAUAAAUGUCUAAAAAUCCUCGCCUAAAGCUUAUGGCAUUUAUUAAAGUUACGGCCUCUAAGUUUAUUUUUUUUCAUAGCUUUCGAUUAUCUAUAUAUAGUAUAUAUUUAAGAUCUACAUCUAAAUAGUCGUGAGUUAUGACAAAUUACCUAAUGGUAUAAACGAUGAGAAAACCUAGAGUUUACAGUAAUUAACGUUUUUUAUUUACGUGGUAACUGAAAGUCCGCUUCUCCUCUUGAAUUAUUAUUUUAAUAAUCUAUUCUUAAAGGGAAAACGGUAUCUGUUUACUAAUAUAUUAAGUAAAUUAAGUGAAAAAUGUUCUGGAAAACUGUAAGCUCCGUAAGUAAUAUAAAAAAGUAAACAAAAUGUAUUGUAAGAUAAAAAAGUAAACAAAAUAUAUUGUAAGCUUACGCUAUAAUACCGUACCUAAAUACUAACACAAGUGAGCAAGUAGAGAAUACGAAGGCGUUCGAGCUAACAAUCAUUAAGGAACUCGGCAAAUUGACUCUCGUAACUUCGGGAUAAGGUGGACCAUUUCUUCUCAUUAAUAUCAGGCAAGAAAGAGGAGGCAUAGAAUGGUGUUGUACGACUGUUUAAUUAAAACAAAGCACGCUGCGAAGAAAUAAAUUCGAUGUAUUGAGUGUGAUCUCUGCCCGAUGGCGGCUGGUUAACUAAUUUGCUUAGUUAAAUAAAAUAAGCUAGGCUUUGAUGGAAACCCCGUUCAAUGGCGGCCUUACCUAUAAGGGUCCUAAGGUAGCGUAAUACCUUGGCCGUUAAAUGCGGUCUUGCAUGAAUGAUGUAACGAUACAACAGCUGUCUCUAUGAUUGGCUCGGUGAAAUUGGAAUAACUGUGCAGAUACAGUUUACCUUUAGUUGGACGAGAAGACCCUAUGCAGCUUUACUGUUGCUAGUUACUGAAUAUGAUAUAAUGAGUUGUAGUGUAUAAGGUAAUUAAUAUAGAAUUGAAACACCUUUACUUCAUUUAUCAUAUUAUAUAAACCUUACAAGCAAAUUGCCAGUAAAGUCAAUAAAUAUAAUUACUGGUUGUAAGAUUUGAUAGGAACAAUUGCUAGGUGGCAGUUUAUGCGGGGCACAGAUCCCAUAAAGAGUACCUGGGAGUAUCCAAAGACAUUUUUUUUAGAUUGCAAUUUGCAAUUUAAUAUGAACUUUUAUUAGUAUAAAUUCAUAUUUUUAGUUUGCAAUAAGUGUUAUAUUAUAAUAUAACGCUAAUUUAAUUAUAAAUCCAUUUAAGUUGGAACUUUUUUUUUAUUUAGGUAAGAUUUUAACUAUAUUUCAAUAUAGAUGUAAUUAAAUCAUUAUGAGGUGCCAGUGUGGCAUAUUAAGGUAAUUAGAAAUAAUAUAAUGUGCUGUGAUAUAUUUUUCUACGUAUGUAUACUGAUAAGUUGUUGAUCUUUUUUAUUUUUAUUACCUAUUGGUGUUUAACUUAUGAUACUUAUAGCAUAUACACCAAGUUAAGCCUGCUUAAGGAGUAGGAGCAAAAAAAAAGAAAGAUAAAAAACAACAAGAGGUAUUAGUUAAUCAAAAAGAAAAUAGUAUCACUUUUAUUGUUAACUUAUUGUGUGUAUGUUUGCAAAGAUAUACAACCACGCCACUACUUAUGCAUGACUGCGUUGGUAAAAAUUUAUUAGCUAUUAUAUUUUAGCUGAUUUGCAUAAUGAUUUUUGUUGUAGACUAGUCUACAUAAUGUAUUAUAUAUAUUUAACUCGUAAAUAUAUAUGUGUAUAUUUAUAUACUAGGUAUAUGAUAGUUAUUUUACUUAUCAAGUUUAACGGCUUAAUCUUGCUUUACUGUUUGACUUACAUGUCUUUCAGUUGCGUAAGCGGGGCAUAUGAUCACAAGAUGCAGAAAGGAAAGGUCUUGGAUUAUUGAAAAAGUUACGCUAGGGAUAACAGGCUAAUCCCGCCAGAGAGUUCAAAUUGAGUGCGGGGUUUGGCACCUCGAUGUCGGCUUAGCUCAUCCACAUGAAUGUAGGAGUCAUGAAGGGUCCGACUGUUCGUCGAUUAAAGAGCUACAUGAGCUGGGUUAAAUACGUUGUAAGACAGUAUGGUUUCUAUCCUCUAGAGGAAGUUGGAAUAAAUUAAGGAUAGCCCCUUGUACGAGAGGAAUUGGGUAUAUUAACCUAUGGUUUACCUGUUGUUUGUAUUGCCAUAUUAUUGUAACUGAUAGAGAUAUUGUCUUUAUUUUGUUAUAGCCUCUGAGUUUAUAACCAAGAACGCAAUAUUCUGGGUGUCAUGGCUUAUGCUGGCAAUUACUUUUCACUAAAGUAAUAUUUACUUAGGCAGUAAUAAACUGAAAUAGAUGAUAUGUCUAGUAAAAAGGCACGGCAGGAAAGCUACGUUAGUUAAUGAUAAGUGCUGAAUGCAUAUAGGCACGAAACAUACCUUAGGAUAUUCUCAUAUAUACGUAGUUUAAUACUACAAUUUUAGUUUUUAUUAAUAGGCUUU